CACUUUUUGCACUAAAUAAUAAUUAAGUCCCAUUUUACUUUGUCUGUCGGGAAAAAUCAUGUUGCCUUUUUUUUAUCAUUUAUUUAAUGUUUAAAAAUUAAUGAGAAACUACUCACACAUUUUAUGCUUAGGAGAAACACCUACUGACCUACUAGAAACCAUAGAAUUAGUUCAUUUUACAAAUAGAUAUCAUCUGUCGGCUAUCUGCAUACGAAUAGAAAAAAGACGUUGCAAUUCAAAUUUUCUGGUGGAAUACAUUUCCAUAGGGUAGCUAUGCAACAAUCAUGUUUAUCAAACAGAAAUAUCUCAAAGCUCCUCGUUACGCUACAAAACUCAUGUAAAAUACUCUCCAUAGCACUAUCAAUCAUCGAUUCCCUCAAUAUUCCUACAUCACAUUGAUUUAUGACGAUAAAUAUUUUUUUAUAAAAAUAAAAAUUCCUUUAACGUAACAAACUUUCUUAAGUCUGUGAAUUACAUAUAAAGUGUAAUGGCUCCUACGAUCAACCAUAACGAAACUCCGUCGAACAUAACUAACAACCCAUCACAAUUAUUUCCCAUGAAAUCGAAGGACACAUCGUCGAAAUUUCCAGAAGGAAAACGCAGAAGAUUUUUAAGGGAACUAUUAUUCCUCGAGGCAUUGAAAAAAUUUCUUCCCCACCCGAUGGAUGAGCCCAUGAGUUACGAACCCACUUCGUCAGAAUACGUCGACGAAUAUUGUCUGGGUGAUUUUGUUCCUUUUCUGGAGAAGAAUGAAAUCCUCACAGAGAUUCAAGUGAAUUAUCCUCUGUACGGUGGGAGCAUCAACAAGACCAUUUACAAUGAGAAGAUCUCCGCAGAAAUCCUGAAAAGACGUUCAACAAUUCCCAAUCUUCACGAGCCAUUCCGGAGAAAUUGCAGUUUUACAACCCCUGUUGCAGAUCGCUUGACAGAAUAAAAUUUCCAAUUGUCUCAUUCUCUUUAAUAUUCUAAUGAAACUUUAUUGCAUACGCUUUUUUACAUAGAAUAUACCUAUCAGGAUUUAUGACAAUAUAUGCAAAGAGUAAAUGAUAAA